rnacentral:snoRNA from 14 species
GUAUUGCUGUGAUGAAUUAAGAAAAAUUUCACAUGUCAGACUUCAGAGAUUUUUAUAAUCAAUGAGAAUGACAAUUCUUAAUUUCUGAGCUGGAU